GAUCCAGAUAUUUUGAUGUAUAGUGGUUGCUGAUCUUGGAGUUUUUACCUGUUUGGAGAUCAUCGAGAUUUCGGAGUGGGUCCUAGCGGUGUUCAAUAGAUUUGCUCGGAUCCAGUUCUUGACGGAGACUUGAGAUGGCGAGAACAUGCACAGUAUCUGUAGCCGGACAGGAGCCAGAGCCCCCUAUGGUAGCUACUACCAAGGGCAGAGUCUGAGGCCGAGAUCGAACUAGAAGCCGAGGCAAAGGUAGAGCUCAGCCUAGAGCUCGAGCAACAACACCUAUAGUGGAGCCUCAAACUGAUCAUGAGGAGGAGAUCCCUGCUCAGACCGUACCUGUCGGUAGGGGUGGGCAUAAAAUCCGAAAAAACGAAUUCCGAUCGGUAUUUUGAUCUAAUUCGUUAUUGUAAUUUCGGUAUUUUGGUACGGUCCUCGGUAUUAGAAUUUUGAAAUUUCGGUAUACCGAAAUACCGAAUUUUUAAA